AUGUCCAGUGCUCCGGCGACGGCAAAGACAGUUCCAAACCGCCUGCCUCGCCUCUCAAUCACAGGUGAGCCGACGGGAGCUGGUUCCUUUCCUCCCCGACGCUCUUCUUCACCUGGCCGGAGCACCUGCUCCUCCCAUCACGCACAGAUCGACGGAGCAGUUCGAUGGUCGUUGCCCAGGCUGCGUGCAGUUCAGUGCUGCUCUGCCCCCAUUGACUUCAACCACCAACCCGCGAGAGAAGAGAUGGCUAUUGAUGAAGCCGAGCUUGAGCCUCUAGAAUUUGCCGAGAAAAUGCACACUCAACGGGAAUUACAACAACAGAAACUGGAGAUGUUAGUUCAAAUUAGAAAACACAAUUCCGAGAGCCAAUCUGUCAUACUUGAGACUUUGCAGAGGCAGUUGGAGAGUGCUGAUUUCGAUACCAGUGCAUCAAUAUUCACUCCGGAGCAGAUCCAAGGGAUUGUUGAGAAAUACUCCAGUUCACAUAUUUCAAGAGAUGUGCAGAUGGGGGACAUGAAAGGAACGAAGGAAAGGGAACGGAACGAGCGAAGAAAGGCUGGGCUGGCUCCAAUGGAGCUAGGACGGCGUGGAGUCAGCAGACGGGGGAGCGCAGGCGCUAGGCAGCGAUCACGGGGCUCCACGUCUACCGUCGGGGCGGCAUGCUCGAUCUGCAGAGGACAUGACGAUGACAGGGGUAUG
rnacentral:rRNA from 1 species